UUUUUUUCAGAAACAGAUUGUGACAUUUUACCCACAUUUGAAAAUGCCAUAAUGACAGGAAAGAAAAAAAAAUCAUUUAGCACAGGAGAACAAGUGACAUUCAAAUGUCAACCUCCUUAUCAAAUGAAUGGCUCAGACACUAUAACAUGUGUUAAUAGCCGGUGGAUUGGACAGCCAGUAUGCAAAGAUUCAACAGGGAAAUGUGGGCCUCCUCCAUCUAUUGACAAUGGAGACAUCACCUCCUUGUCAUUACCAGUAUAUGAACCAUUUUCAUCAGUUGAAUAUCAAUGCCAGAAGUAUUAUCUCCUUAAGUGAAAGAAGACAAUAACAUGUAGAAAUGGAAAGUGGUCUGAGCCACCAACCUGUUUACAUGCAUGUGUAAUAUCAAAAGACAUUAUGGAAGCACACAAACUAAUUCUCAAAUGGAUAAACACUGAGAAGAUUUAUUCCCAUUCAGGGGAGGAUAUUCAAUUUGACUGUAAACCGGGAUAUCAAAAAGCAAGAGGAUCACUGCCAUUUCGUACAAAGUGCAUUAAUGGUCACAUCAAUUAUCCCACUUGUGUAUAAAAUCAUAAUACAUUUAUUAGUUGAUUUUAUUGUUUAGAAAUGAAAUGCAUAUCACUAAUAUAGUUUCAAUUUGCAUUUGAAGUAUUGAUUAACUCAUGUUGUCUCAUAAAUGCAAGUACUUUUGUUAUAUGGUGAUUAAUUUGUAACUUUAAAGACUAUUGACAAAAUACAAAAGCAGUACAUUAAAAACUCCCAAUCCAAAAUAUGGUAAGUCCAAUGACAAACUAUUUCAAUCAAGAAAAUAGAUGUAAAUUCUUCAACAUCUAUUUCUAUUCAGAAUGUUCUCAGAUUUCCUGGAUACCUUUUGAUGUGAGGUUCUGAUUUACAGUGAAUAAAAGACAUGUUGAUUGAGUCUUCUAAUUAAUAUGAUUUCACAAAGCAUGUAACAACCAAACAAUCAUAUAUUAUAUCACUAAUGCAUACAAUGAAUUGCUAUAUCAUAGUUUCAAAUAAAAGAAUCUAAGAAACGUCUUGCACAUGAACUUCUAAUAUUUGGUACAUUGAAAUAAUAAAAGAUUCAAGCCAUUUUACAAAGGGAUUAAAAAUUUCACAAGGUGUAUGAUCCUAUCACUUUAAUAAUAUUGACAUUAAAAACUAUAAAUAUUUGGUAUCACUUAUAAACAGGCAAUGAACAUUGUCUUAGACAAGAUUUUAAUGCUAUAAAGAGUCAUAUUAGACAAGGCAACUCAUGAGGAAUAACAUUUAAUUGGGUUUGGCUUACAAGUUAAUAUUUUUAGCCCAUUAUCAUCAUGGUGGAAAGUAUGACAGUGUCCAGGCAGACAUGAUGCUGACAAAAAGGCUUAGAUUUCUACAUAUUAAUUCACAAGCAGCAGAAGACAAUGUGUCACACUGAGCA